rnacentral:rRNA from 1 species
GUGUCAGCCGCCGCGGUAAUACGGAGGGUGCAAGCGUUAUCCGGAAUCACUGGGUUUAAAGGGUGCGUAGGCGGCGAGGUAAGUCAGUUGUGAAAUUCCCCGGCUCAACCGGUGGGACUGCGAUUGAUACUGCUUUGCUUGAAACAGGUUGAGGUAAGCGGAAUGUGGCAUGUAGCGGUGAAAUGCAUAGAUAUGCCAUAGAACACCGAUUGCGAAGGCAGCUUGCUGGGCCUGAUUUGACGCUGAGGCACGAAAGCGUGGGGAGCAAACAGGAUUAGAAACCCCCGUAGUCC